rnacentral:rRNA from 1 species
UAGGGUUCGAUUCUGGCUCAGAAGGAACGCUGGCAGCGUGCAUAACACAUGCAAGUCGAGCGGGAUUAUUAUCUUCGGAUGAUAUGAGAGUGGCGAACGGGUGAGUAACACGUAAGAAUCUACCUUUAGGACGGGGAUAACUUCUGGAAACGGAUGCUAAUACCCGAUAUGCUGUGGAGUGAAAGGAAUUUCGCCUAAAGAUGAUCUUGCGUCUGAUUAGCUAGAUAGUGUGGUAAUGGCGCACUAUGGCGACGAUCAGUAGCUGGUCUGAGAGGAUGGACAGCCACAUUGGAACUGAGACACGGUCCAAACUCCUACGGGAGGCAGCAGUGGGGAAUUUUCCGCAAUGGGCGAAAGCCUGACGGAGCGACGCUGCGUGAAGGAUGACGGCCUGCGGGUUGUAAACUUCUUUUCUCGAAGAAGAAUAAAUGACGGUAUUCGAGGAAUAAGCAUCGGCUAACUCUGUGCCAGCAGCCGCGGUAAUACA